GACGAACGCUGGCGGCGUGCCUAAUACAUGCAAGUAGAACGCACAGUUUAUACCUUAGCUUGCUACACCAUAAACUGUGAGUUGCGAACGGGUGAGUAACGCGUAGGUAACCUGCCUGGUAGCGGGGGAUAACUAUUGGAAACGAUAGCUAAUACCGCAUAAUAUUAAUUAUUGCAUGAUAAUUGAUUGAAAGAUGCAAUUGCAUCACUACCAGAUGGACCUGCGUUGUAUUAGCUAGUAGGUGAGGUAACGGCUCACCUAGGCGACGAUACAUAGCCGACCUGAGAGGGUGAUCGGCCACACUGGGACUGGGACACGGCCCAGACUCCUACGGGAGGCAGCAGUAGGGAAUCUUCGGCAAUGGACGAAAGUCUGACCGAGCAACGCCGCGUGAGGGAAGAAGGUUUUCGGAUCGUAAAGCUCUGUUGUAAGAGAAGAACGGGUGUGAGAGUGGAAAGUUCACACUGUGACGGUAUCUUACCAGAAAGGGACGGCUAACUACGUG
rnacentral:rRNA from 1 species